GGAGGGAGGUGCAGAUUUGCACGGCUGGCCUCAGCGGGAGGCGCGGAAAUGCAAGCCGAGCCUGCUGGAGUGAAAGCCCCCGGGGCCUGGCACCCCCGAAAACGACCUCCCACCUUAAUCCCUGCCCCCAUCGCCCACGGCCCCCAUGGGCGACCCCUCUUCUUCCUCUUCCUUCAUUUACCCCACCUCGUUACCUACGUGGCUGACCCAAAUUCAAAGCAUUUUGUGUAUAUAUAAUUUUUUUUUUUCUUUUCUGCUAUGUCUUUUUUUGGGGGGGUGGCGGGGGUGGGGGGAGAAAUCCUCUCUAGAGCCGUAAGCGGAUCUGCCACACGGAGGAAGCAUUUGGGGGCUCAGGAAGAAAUUAGCGCAGCUCCAUACCUGUACGGACUACAUAACUUUUAAACUACUGGACUCAAAGGAUCCACAUACACACAGGUACAGGAAAUACAGUCAGACCAAAGCCUUUUCAGACCCAAGCUGACCGGAAGACGUUGCCUUUCAUUCAUUCAUUCUGCCCGCGUCUGUGGAGUCCUUUACUAGGCGAGAAGCCCUAGAAGAGAAGUUGGACGUUUUUUAAAGGUCCCUGCGCUCUCCAAGAAGAGGAAAUAGAUGCUCAGGAGUGAACUACCGAGAGAAUCGGAUCUGGCGCCUCCUAACGCAGCUGGCAAACAUGCGAAGGAUAAAAGUCCAAAAGGCUGAGAACACACCCACACACCCUAGCCACUAGAUGGAGCCACACAUAGUCCUUGGAGGCACUGCUGGGAUGGGCAGCCCAGGUUCCAAGUUGGAUUCUCCACUGGCUUCUUUGGUAUACUUUGAUAUUUACUGAGCAGUGUGCCAAGCAACCCUCUAGAUGCUAGAGUUGUGAAAUCGACAGCGACGGUACCUGCCCUCCUGGAGCUGAUACCCUAGGGAACAGUUCUUACCUCAGUACUCUAGCCUCACUUCACCUCUCCCCUCUAUUAUUCUGUAGCUAAAUUGGCCUCCUAAUGUUCCAACAGGCAGAUAUUGUUGCUUCAGAGUCUUUGUAUCUGCUAUUCCCUUCCGCCCCAGGAAAGCAGGUCCCUGCUUCUUUGCAUUGCUGGUUCAGGUCUCAGCUCAAAAGUGACCAAGUCAGAAAAACGUGAACUUAUUUUGUUCGUUGACUGCCUAUUCUCUUCACUAAUUUGUAAGAUUCCGUGAAAGUUACUAUUUUCUUGGAAUCCCUCAGCCUAACGCUUAAUCGGUGCACAGUAAACGUACUGAAGGGGCUUCUUAUCCUGUAUCCCAGCUUGUUUCAGAGGAUAGUGAACUGUAAGUGAACGAACUGGACAAAACAUACCACAAAUCUCAGCCCUGGAAAAAAAAAAAA
ensembl:lncRNA